rnacentral:rRNA from 1 species
AUACGUAGGGGGCGAGCGUUGUCCGGAAUGAUUGGGCGUAAAGGGCGCGUAGGCGGCCCGGUAAGUCUGGAGUGAAAGUCCUGUUUUUAAGAUGAGAAUUGCUUUGGAUACUGUCGGGCUUGAGUGCAGGAGAGGUAAGUGGAAUUCCCAGUGUAGCGGUGAAAUGCGAAGAGAUUGGGAGGAACACCAGUGGCGAAGGCGACUUACUGGACUGUAACUGACGCUGAGGCGCGAAAGCGUGGGGAGCAAACAGGAUUAGAUACCCUGGUAGUCCACACUGUAAACGAUGAAUGCUAGGUGUAGGGGGUAUCGACCCCUUCUGUGCCGCAGUCAACACAAUAAGCAUUCCGCCUGGGGAGUACGGCCGCAAGGUUGAAACUCAAAUGAAUUGACGGGG